rnacentral:rRNA from 1 species
GUCAUAUGCUUGUCUCAAAGAUUAAGCCAUGCAUGUCUCAGUACAAGCCAAAUUAAGGUGAAACCGCGAAAGGCUCAUUAAAUCAGUUAUGGUUCCUUAGAUCGUACCCACAAUUACUUGGAUAACUGUGGUAAUUCUAGAGCUAAUACAUGCAAACAGAGCUCCGACCGGAGACGGAAGGAGUGCUUUUAUUAGAUCAAAACCAAUCGGUGGCGGGUUCGCUCGUCAUCGUACAACUUGGUGACUCUGAAUAACUUUUCGCUGAUCGCACGGUCAUCGCACCGGCGACGCAUCUUUCAAAUGUCUGCCUUAUCAACUGUCGAUGGUAGGUUCUGCGCCUACCAUGGUUGUAACGGGUAACGGGGAAUCAGGGUUCGAUUCCGGAGAGGGAGCCUGAGAAACGGCUACCACAUCCAAGGAAGGCAGCAGGCGCGCAAAUUACCCACUCCCGGCACGGGGAGGUAGUGACRAAAAAUAACGAUACGGGACUCAUCCGAGGCCCCGUAAUCGGAAUGAGUACACUCUAAACCCUUUAACGAGGAUCAAUUGGAGGGCAAGUCUGGUGCCAGCAGCCGCGG